rnacentral:sRNA from 1 species
GCUGGGCACAAUGGUGCGCGUGCCUGUAAUCCCAGUGGCUUGGGAGGCUGAGGCAGGAGGAUCGUGAGUUCAAAGCCAGAGUCCUCAACCUCAAGGCACUAAACAACUCAGUGAGACCCUGUCUCUA